CUUUUACACCAGUAAUAUUACGUCGGUACCCUUUCCUAGUACUCCAUCAGCUUUCCUAAUACUCCACCGUGAUACCCCGUAUAUUCAAAGUGGAGUAUUAAGGAGUAACUGUCAAUUCGAGCCACCAGAUUAAAAAAAUGGACGGCUUAUAUUAAUUAUGAGAUACUGUAGAAGAGCUUUUUUUUAAAAGAUACCAUUUCUCUGGAAUUGUGUCACGCUCUACAAAUUUAUGCGGUAGACAAACAUGAUUCUUAAACCCGGAAUUCGAAGUCAACCAAAUCAAAUCCUAUCAAAAAUUGGAUUUCAUUUGAUUUCAAAUGGAAGAAGGAGUGCCAAACGAGUUGUUAUAAAAUUCCUUUCAAAUUUCUUCUGUGGGAGGUGCCGAGUUUAGUUGGUAGUACCGAGGCCCGGUAGAGUCAAGUUAAAUUGUUUCGCUUCUGAUUAUCAAGUAGGCAAACGAAUGGUCUGUAUUGAAUCUUGGAGAACAUGCUAGGAUACUUUUAUUGCAAGGUAUCAUCCAACCUGCUAUACGUACGAUCAUGCAAUUAACAAGAAAUAUAAUGAAUUUUAGACAAUGUAAAAAUGAGCAUGCAGCCCAAGCUAGGGAAAGAAUGAAGAGUAUGCUUAGAAAAUUAGAUUCGAGUGGUGGUCCUCCAUUAGCAGCACUCUUUUUUAUAACAAAAAUUAGCUUUAUCGAUCCAAUAAACAGAAGUAAUAUUAUACGCACGAGGAACUCUAGUUCGAUCUCGUCCGAUACAAGACACGAACCAUCGAUCAAAUAAUCGUGUGGCUGGACAUUGCGUCGUACAGCCGUCGAACAUUACUUCGUUGUACACAGAGUACUUCCGGCAGAGCCAAUACUUCAGUCAAUAUUAACUUCAAUUCCCACCAUGGGUUUGAGCGCGCCCAGGCCCAACGUGCAAAAGAACAUACCAACGGGUAGGGCCAAAUAUGCUAGUGCAAAUACAUUAAACCCACAUAAUGGGUCAUCCUUGGAGAGGUGCGCAAGGCGAAGUAUCAGUGAAAAUUGGAUUUCAGUGAAAAACUGCAAACUCGCAAUGUGGGCCGUCGGAUCGAAAACGGACGGCCUAGAUCAAAGCUCCAUGCGACGGCGACGACAACUGCUGCGCUGCCCCGAUGCGAUGGCGACUAGGCGGCUGCUGUGUCGACGCGUCGGCGAUUCUGUUGCCCUGGCGCUUCCCUCUCGUGAUGGCGGUUCUGCAGCUGCCGCGCUGCGCCGGCUCGACGGCAUCUCGGAGGCCACGGCGCCACCGGCGACGGCGAGUCAGUGGCCGAGGUGGUACGCCAGCGUGAAGGAUUCUUGCCGGCCAAGGCGCUACCCCAACACGACGGCAUCAUGCCGCCCACGGCGCUGCCGCGGUGGUGAUUCGGCAGCCGGGCGCGUCCCCCCCGGGAUGGCUUCAGACUUUCAGAGGCGUCCCCGACUGAAGCUUGAUUUCAGAGGUGAAUUUUAGUUCUAAAGUUGUAUUCAAGCAUUGUACCAAUCCUAAUGUAGGCAAUCUCUGUUGUACUAUGUAUUGCUGUUGUACCGAUUCUGAAGCCAUGACACUUGCGUGCAUUCUGAAGCAUUGUAUCUGACAUUGAGUUUGUUUAUGAAUUUAGAACCAAAUUUCAAAUAGAAAGCAUUGUGUGUUCA